rnacentral:rRNA from 1 species
UCAGGGUGAGAAUCCCCAGGCGCUUGAGGGAACUCUGGUGAAGGAACUAGGCAAAAUAGUACCGUAACUUCGGGAGAAGGUACGCCCCUAGUACGUGAAGGCCCAGCGGCCGGAGCGGACGGGGGUUGCAGUGACCAGGUGGCUGCGACUGUUUACUAAAAACACAGCACUCUGCAAACGCGUAAGCGGACGUAUAGGGUGUGACGCCUGCCCGGUGCCGGAAGGUUAAGUGAUGGGGUUAGCCGCAAGGCGAAGCUCUUGAUCGAAGCUCCGGUAAACGGCGGCCGUAACAAUAACGGUCCUAAGGUAGCGAAAUUCCUUGUCGGGUAAGUUCCGACCUGCACGAAUGGCGUAACGAUGGCCACGCUGUCUCCACCAGAGACUCAGUGAAAUUGAAAUCUCGGUUAAGAUGCCGAGUACCCGCGGCUAGACGGAAAGACCCCGUGAACCUUUACUAUAGCUUCACACGGGACUUUGAAUCGACUUGUGUAGGAUAGGUGGGAGGCUAAGAAGCCCGGACGCCAGUUCGGGUGGAGCCACCCUUGAAAUACCACCCUGGUCGAUUUGGAGUUCUAACCCAGGCCCGUCAUCCGGGUCGGGGACAGUGUGUGGUGGGUAGUUUGACUGGGGCGGUCUCCUCCCAAAGAGUAACGGAGGAGCACGAAGGUACCCUCAGCGCGGUCGGAAAUCGCGCAGUGAGUGCAAAGGCAUAAGGGUGCUUGACUGCGAGACAGACACGUCAGCAGGUACGAAAGUAGGUCUUAGUGAUCCGGUGGUUCUGUAUGGAAGGGCCAUCGCUCAACGGAUAAAAGGUACUCCGGGGAUAACAGGCUGAUACCGCCCAAGAGUUCAUAUCGACGGCGGUGUUUGGCACCUCGAUGUCGGCUCAUCACAUCCUGGGGCUGAAGUCGGUCCCAAGGGUAUGGCUGUUCGCCAUUUAAAGUGGUACGCGAGCUGGGUUUAGAACGUCGUGAGACAGUUCGGUCCCUAUCUGCCGUGGACGUUGGAGACUUGCGGGAAGCUGCUCCUAGUACGAGAGGACCGGAGUGGACGUACCCCUGGUGUUCCGGUUGUCACGCCAGUGGCAUUGCCGGGUAGCUACGUACGGACGGGAUAACCGCUGAAAGCAUCUAAGCGGGAAGCCCCUCCCAAGAUGAGGUCUCCCUGGACCCUUGAGGUCCCUGAAGGUCCGUCACAGACUAUGACGUGGAUAGGCGGGAUGUGGAAGCGCGGUAACGCGUGCAGCUAACCCGUACUAAUUGACCGUGCGGCUUGACCCU